ACCGGGUGAGCUUGAGCAUUGGUGUGUGUUGGGCCGGAGGAAAGCGGGAAGACGCAUCAGAGCGUCUGGAUUUGAGCCUGUGCAUUUUUUACCCUAGAUCUCAAAAUGCAUCGUGAUUCCUGUCCGCUGGACUGUAAGGUUUAUGUAGGCAAUCCUGGAAACAAUGGCAACAAGACCGAAUUGGAACGGGCUUUUGGCUACUAUGGACCACUCCGAAGUGUGUGGGUUGCUAGAAACCCUCCCGGCUUUGCUUUUGUUGAAUUUUAAGAUCCCCGAGAUGCAGCUGAUGCUGUCAGAGAGCUAGAUGGAAGAACACCAUGUGGCUGCCAUUUAAGAGUAGAACUGUCGAAUGGUGAAAAAAGAAGUAGAAGUCGUGGCCCACCUCCCUCUUGGGGCCUUCGUUCUCGAGAUGAUUAUCGGAGGAGGAGUCCUUCAUCUCGUCGCAGAUCUCCAAGAAGGAGAAGCUUCUCUUGCAGCCGGAGCAGGUCCCUUUCUAGAGAUAGGAGAAGAGAGAGAUCGCUGUCUCGGGAGAGAAAUCACAAGCUGUCCCCAUCCUUCUCUAGGUCUCGUAGCCGUUCUAGGUCAAAUGAAAGGAAAUAGAAGACCAGUUUGCAAGAGAAGUGGUGUACAGGAAAUUACUUCAUUUGACAGGAGUAUGUACAGAAAAUUCAAGUUUUGUUUGAGACUUCAUAGGCUUGGUGCAUUUUUAAGAUGUUUUAGCUGUUCAAAUUUGUUCGUCUUUUGAAACAGUGACACAAAGGUGUAAUUCUCUAUGGUUUGAAAUGGAUCAUAUGAGGCAUGUAAUACCAAGAAUUGUUACUUUACAAUGUUCCCUUAAGCAAAAUUGAAUUUGCUUUGAAUUUGAGUUAUGCAUAGACUGAUAAUAAACCUCUAAACCCGCCCAGCAGAAGUGUGAAUUUUUUUUUUU